CUGUGCAUAUUUUCACUGUUCUGAUUUUGUAAUAAUCAAGGCAGGCUAAAUAUAUGCUAUAUUAAGCCCUGGCCUGUUUGGCUCAGCGGUUAGAG